UAAUGUCAAUCUAAAUUCUAUGCCUCUGCUUCUAGACUCUCUCUCUCUCUCUCUCUCGCUCUCUUCUCUGCGCCGCGCAAGAUGGUUCUUCAGUUGCACCUUGAAGUCCACCUUGAGUUGAUGGGUUGAAGGAUUUCCAUUGUUAGGGUUCUUGCUUUCUUGGGAUGAAAAAUAUUUGACCUAGUAUAGAGCAGUAUUUGUUGUCAACUGCAAGAUUAAGGAUGACAAAGUUGUGAAGCAAAAUAUACCAAAAUCAAGAAAAAGAAAUAGAAGGACUGAAGGCAAUGAUGCACAUUCGACUAACACUGAAACAUUCAAGCAAGUCUGCUGCUAUGUUUACUUGACAGAGGGUGCAUAUGUGCGUGAAAUGGAAGAUAGGACGCAAAUAGCAUCUGAGCAAAAUCUUCCUCCGCCAAAUGAGCUAGAUGUGUGGCGUGAUGUGGCUGGCAUGAAAAAGGGUAGAAUAUAUGGGUUGGGAUUGGAGUCCACUGUUAUCAAUAAACAAUAUCAUGGCUCAUGUUCUUCAUCAUCUGAAUGGGUAAGAAGAUCAGAAUUUGAUCAAUUGAGAAACACUAUUAUGGAGGAGACUCAAAGAAUGGUAAGACAAAUGAUGGAAGAAAGGAUGCAACAACCACCAAUGCCAACCCCAAAUCAAGAGGAGUUAGAAACUGAUGAGUCAGAGAAUGAGGAGGAUCUUGGUGCUUUUCCAUGAAAACUUUGUCAAGCUUUGUUUCUAUAUUUAAUGUAAUAGACUAUGUUUAAUGUAAUAGUAAUCUACUAGACUAGUUUAAGUAGUUCAUGGUAUACUUUUUGUGAUGAUUCAGUGAUGAAUUUAGGUGGAUAUGUUAAGAUUGUGUGUUUUGUGAUGAUUCAAUGAUGAUUAUGGUUA